GCAAAACAGUGAAAUAAAUCCCAGGCUGAGAUUUAAGACCAUUUAAGACCUGUGACGUCAGAGAGAAAGAAUGUCUUUAACUGACAGAAGCAGCUCAUCACUCCGCUGGUGUUCCGGUGCUCCUGCUGCUUCUCCUACCUGGCAGCGCACUGAUCUGAAUCCACCGCAGGUCGUACCAAGGAGAAUCUUUCGGAGGGGUCCGGGAUGAACCACCUCUCCCACAGAUCCAGGUGAACAGCAGGAUAGUU